UAGAACAGAUGCUCUGCAAUGGAGUGAGACCCGUAUCCUUUUGAAGGUCACAAACAGGCUCUCCUUCUCAAUUCCUAUUCUGGAUCGUCCUCCCUUUGCAGAUUGAUAACGUGUGCCAGUGUACUAUAUCCCAGGCUGGGUACACGGGCUAGUUCUAACCCCUUGGGCGGUUGGUGGUGUAGUCCAGAUAUACCAGU
rnacentral:ribozyme from 1 species